CCUACGGGGGGCAGCAGUGGGGAAUAUUGCGCAAUGGGCGAAAGCCUGACGCAGCGACGCCGCGUGAGGGAUGAAGGCCUUCGGAUUGUAAACCUCUGUUAGCAGGGAAGAACGGUCACUGUGCUAAUCAGCAGUGAAUUGACGGUACCUGCAAAGGAAGCACCGGCUAAUUCCGUGCCAGCAGCUGCGGUAAUACGGAGGGUGCGAGCGGUAAUCGGAAUUACUGGGCGUAAAGCGCUCGUAGGCGGUAUGUCAAGUCAAGGGUGAAAUCCCCGCGCUCAACGUGGGAACUGCAUUUGAAACUGGCAGACUGGAGUGUGUGAGAGGAUGGUGGAAUUCCUGGUGUAGGAGUGAAAUCCGUAGAUAUCUGGAAGAACAUCAGUGGCGAAGGCGACUAUCUGGCACGUAACUGACGCUGAGGAGCGAAAGCGUGGGUAGCAAACAGGAUUAGAUACCCGAGUAGUC
rnacentral:rRNA from 1 species